rnacentral:rRNA from 1 species
AAGCGGCGAACGGGUGAGUAACACGUAGGUGAUCUGCCCAUCANACGGGGACAACGAUUGGAAACGAUCGCUAAUACCGGAUAGGACGAAAGUUUAAAGAUGCUCCUGGCAUCACUGAUGGAUGAGCCUGCGGCGCAUUAGCUAGUUGGUGGGGUAAAGGCCUACCAAGGCGACGAUGCGUAGCCGACCUGAGAGGGUGAACGGCCACACUGGGACUGAGACACGGCCCAGACUCCUACGGGAGGCAGCAG